rnacentral:rRNA from 2 species
GGCGAGUGAAGCGGCAACAGCUCAAAUUUGAAAUCUGGCCUCUUCGGGGCCCGAGUUGUAAUUUGCAGAGGGUGCUUUGGCGUUGGCGGCGGUCUAAGUUCCUUGGAACAGGACAUCGCAGAGGGUGAGAAUCCCGUAUGUGGUCGCCCGCCUUCGCCGUGUAAAGCCCCUUCGACGAGUCGAGUUGUUUGGGAAUGCAGCUCUAAAUGGGAGGUAAAUUUCUUCUAAAGCUAAAUACCGGCCAGAGACCGAUAGCGCACAAGUAGAGUGAUCGAAAGAUGAAAAGCACUUUGGAAAGAGAGUCAAACAGCACGUGAAAUUGUUGAAAGGGAAGCGCUUGCAGCCAGACUUGGCCGCCGUUGCUCACCCGGGCUCCUGCCCGGGGCACUCUUCGGCGGUCAGGCCAGCAUCAGUUCGGGCGGUCGGAUAAAGGGCUCUGACACGUACUUCCCCUCGGGGUUGACAUACAGGGGAGCCGCCAUGCGACCAGCCCGGACUGAGGUCCGCGCAUCUGCCAGGAUGCUGGCGUAAUGGCUGUAA